rnacentral:rRNA from 1 species
AGAGUUUGAUCCUGGCUUAGGAUGAACGCUGGCGGCGUGCUUAACACAUGCAAGUCGAACGGAGUUUUAACGGAAGUUUCGGAUGGAAGUUUAAGAACUUAGUGGCGGACGGGUGAGUAACGCGUGGGUAACCUGCCUCAUACAGGGGGAUAACAGUUAGAAAUGACUGCUAAGACCGCAUAAUAUAGCGAAACCGCAUGAUUUUGCUAUCAAAUAUUUAUAGGUAUGAGAUGGGCCCGCGUCUGAUUAGCUAGUUGGUGGGGUAAAAGCCUACCAAGGCGACGAUCAGUAGCCGGCUUGAGAGAGUGACCGGCCACAUUGGGACUGAGACACGGCCCAAACUCCUACGGGAGGCAGCAGUGGGGAAUAUUGGACAAUGGGGGAAACCCUGAUCCAGCGAACCGCCGCGUGAGUGAAGAAGUAUUUCGGUAUGUAAAGCUCUAUCAGCAGGGAAGAUAAUGACAGUACCUGACUAAGAAGCCCCGGCUAACUACGUGCCAGCAGCCGC